rnacentral:misc_RNA from 1 species
AAAGUUCUCCAGUAUACUCGCUAUGCUUCUGUUGGAUUUGCCGUAGUACAGGCAAUUGGCCAAGUAUUGUUCCUUCGCCCUUAUGUUAAUGACUUCAGUACCCAGUGGGCAAUUUCUUCCGUUGUACUUUUGACCCUCGGCUCAGUAUUUACGACUUAUAUUGGGGAGCGAAUCACUGAUUUAAAACUUGGAAAUGGUACAUCUCUUUUGAUCUUUACAAAUAUCAUCUCCUACUUGCCAGCGUCCUUUGGUAGGACAGUCGCGCAGGCCUAUCAAGAUGGUAAUUAUGUUGGGCUCGUUGGCAUCCUAGUCUCGUUCUUCCUGCUAGUCCUUAGCAUUGUAUAUGUUCAGGAAGCAGAGAGGAAAAUUCCGCUAAAUUAUGCAUCAAGGUAUACUGGCAGAACAGGAGGAGGACUUCAAAAAUCUGCAUACUUACCAUUUAAAGUGAACAGUUCAGGAGUAAUGCCGAUUAUUUUCUCUACAUCAUCACUAGCCCUUCCUGGCACUUUGGCACGUUUCACCGGUGUAGGUUUUCUGAGAAACGCUGCAGCAGGUUUAAACCCUGGAGGUUCUUUCUAUCUGCCGACAAACAUUUUGUUGAUUGCCUUCUUCAAUUACUAUUAUACAUUCCUGCAAUUGGACCCUGACGAUGUCAGUGAUCAGUUGAAACGACAAGGUGCCUCAAUCCCACUUGUUCGACCGGGUAAAAGCACAGCGGCAUUCAUCAAAACGGUACUCAGCCGGAUAUCAGUUCUUGGUUCAGCAUUUUUGGCACUUCUCGCUGCUGGCCCUGCUGUGAUUGAACAAGCCACACACCUCACUGCUUUCCGAGGCUUUGCAGGCACGUCAGUGCUUAUUCUUGUUGGUUGUGCUACAGACACUGCAAGGAAAGUACAAGCGGA